ACGCCCCCUUUAAUCUGAUUUUUUCUCCACGCCUACUUCUGAUUUGUGCCUCCCUUGUGAACCAUUAGAUGGUGAUGUGUGCUGAUCAAUGGUGAAGUGAGGCGCCAAAAAUGAGGUUGGACGACUAUCCGGAGAAACAUCGAAGAAUUAAUUCCAAAAAGUCUUUCUACAUGAAGCAUUCAGAAUUCUAUUCUUAUCUCUUCUUUUUUACACCUCUCCCUCUUGUCCAAUUAUUCCCUUCCUCCCCUUAUUAGGACAAGUCCUAAAAUAGUAAGGACAAGUCCGAUUUUAGGAUAAGGGCCUAGGAAGAGAUAAGAAAGACAGAGAGACAAGAAAGAUCGAGAUAGGAAAGCUAGGAAGAGAGGAAGGAAGCCCUGAAGUUUUGCUACCCAAAGAAGUUCUUGGAGAAAGAAUUCAGAGGGAGGAACCAUCUUAAGGAGUUGGUAUCUUGAUCAAAGCCCUAUGCGGAUCACCGUUGGAGGGCGAAUACUUGGGUGCCUGAUGGAGGUUCUGUCGGAGUUUUGGAAUAAGCAUUACAGAUAUCCUCUAUACCUUCAAUUAUACAUGUAAAAUGUUUCAUAUGAUUGUUAAUCAUCAAGGAGGUCCUGGUUUAGGGGUUAAUGUUUAGGAUUUCUUUAUUUAAAUUUUUGAAAUUCAUGCUUCUGCUGUGCUAUCAUAACCCUACAAUUCCAACAUGGAGAAUUUCAGAAAUUUCAUGCAACAAAGAAAUAGCAUGCAAAAUUGUUAAAGUAAUCAAAGUAUGGCCUAUUAUGUGCAUGGAUGAAAGAAUUUCAGCAGCCAAGAUGGAUAAUAGCAGAUUUUGAUCGAAGUUUUAGCAAUAACAAUGACAAAACAACAAGAAUAGAAGAAGAUGAGUAGUAAUAGAGAAAAGAAGAUAGAGGGAACCAAAUGUCCGUUGGAGAAUAAGAUGAAGCUCUAUUCAGUUCCCAAUAUUCUAAAAAGAUGGACAUGAUCCAAAGACGCAUUUAUAACAAAGAAACCCAGAAUCAAAUUUGGAAGCCCAAGGGGAGAGGGAAGAUAGCCAUCUCUCUCCUUUCAGCACAGCCUUUUGGGCAAGCUGACUUUGUUAGAAAAUCGUUAAUAUGAGCAGCGGAAGAUAUCAUGGUAUUAACUUUUUAAUUAAAUAUGCGAGAUCUCAUCUUGAAACAACCCGGAUCCCUCAGUUUUUAAGAUUAAGACUAAUAAAAUAAAGUGAGAUCGAAUCAUCACCUUUGUAUAGGAAGAUCUACACAGUAAUAUAAUGAUCGUGGAUGUCUUAGCAGUCCUUUUGAAACCGCACAAGUGUUCAGUCUCUAUAUAUCCACACGAGACUCUAAGCUGAUCAAGAAUUUCUGAUCUCACCAAGAUGCUAGGUCCCAUGCAGAGAUCCUUCUUCUGAUGGCGGAUUUCUUUUCUCUUAAUGCUAAAGAUCAUUCUCAAGGAUUUCAAGCUUUCCUCUUCGCAGAUCAUGCUCCGCACAAGGAUGGAUCAAGAACCUUUCCUCAACCUUUUUUGAUUCCUUUCUCAAGAAACUAGCAGUCCCUCUCUCACUUUUCUUUCUAGCGUGCGCCCACCCUUGGGCGUGAAACAAUUUUCAUGUUGGAGUGGAGGUGAGCCAUGAGAUAGGGCGUCUAAGAACUUGGGCGUGAGAUCUUAUCUCUUAUUAGAGGCAUAAGGUAUCUUGAUCCCUCUUAUAUAAUUAUGAACUCCUUCACAUUAGAGUCCCAGGGAAUCAAGGCUUUGACAUGUCAAACCCUUUGACCAGUCCAAGACUUGAUUGAGGACUCUUGGGCAUGCGUGAGGAAGCAUUGGGGCGUCACAACUCUUGGGCGCCAACAUUCAUGUGAAGUUUCUUGGGCGUGAUCCAAUCAUGCAUAAGGAGAAUUAUGACACCAUAACUCUUGGGCAUACGGAGUCCUAAGUGUCAAUCACAUUGAUGAAUCAAACUUUGACGGAUCAACCUUUGAUCGUUCAAAGUUUAUUAGGAGUCCUGCUACUUUUGGAUUUGAUUGUGUCAAUACUUUGACCAGUUAAACCUUUGACUUGUCAACCUUUGACAUGCCAAACUCUUUUGACUCAAAUUUAAACUGAGUCUAUCAAAUUAAAUCCAACCAUCUGAUUAGACACAAUCUCUUAUGUGUGUGACCCUAUAGGAUCUAUUCUGUCUAACAGUAAGAUAUAUUGUAAUCUUCAUCUACAAUAUCAUUGAAACUCUUUUCAAUGGAUCAGAACAAUUUUAACUCAUCUCAAUAAGAAUUAUCAACCAUUAAGAUAAUUCUCGUGAGUCUCACAAUUUAUCAAUGACAUCUAGCAGCAUGUAGUGACAUUUCAGUAGAACGGAAUGGAAUAAACUUCUAGAUGCAGUUAACGCAUGAUAUAAUCCUUCUAUCGCGAGUAUCGACUAGAUGGAGGUUAUGGAAUUAUUCGUCAAACCCCAUUAUCUAUCAUAUGUUUAAUUUAUUCAACUCGAGUUCCUGAUGUGAAAAUGGUGGAAACUCUUUUCCAUUAUUCACACUACUUUUGUCAAGAUUUUCUGAACUCAAUCUCAUAAAUUAUAUAGGCUAACUCCCUUAUCUAUCAAGAGUGAUAGAUUCCAUAUAGGUGCACACCUUAUUCCUACAAUGAACCUACUGCAGCCAACAGUACUGUAAGAAUCCAUAUGACUAGGGACUAAGUGCAUGUACAGUCAAACUAUAGCAACUCCAUUGUGAAUGGCCGAGGCAGCACAGGUCAAAACACUAGUCACACUACUGCAAACUUCAACAUCGAGUAAGUCAUUGACAAGUGAGUAGACAUCUAAAUGACUUCUCGUAUCGACCACGCUUGGUAUCCUUGUUCACUAACAACUAUCUGUACUCUCGCUUCAGUAUCCCCGUAUUAUAGACUCGAGACUCAUCUACCCUUAAAGAGAAGCGAUCAGUCCAUCAAUCUCAUCAGAUCAAUCACUGUUCCCAUGAUAAUCUAUUGUCGGGAGCAUUUAAAACUUAAUCAUCAAUGAUACAUAUCUCAAAUUCUCAACUCCUGAGAAUAUGUGUCAUCAUCUUAUUAAUUCCUUGAACAAUUCAUGGACACAUACACAACAUGAAUGGAGAUAAAAAUCCAAUUUCAAAAAUAAUGAAAAAGUUAAAUACAAAACUAUGUCCUGAAAUAAAUACAUAUGUCGGCCUGAUUGACUUCUAGGAUAUACAUCUAAUAAUCUCCACUUGCAUUAAAGCCAAUUAACCAUAUACCUAAGCCCCAUCUACUUAAGAUGGAAUUCUGUCUCCUACUGGCUGAACGGCUUAGUCAGUGGGUCUGCCACAUUAUCCAUGGAGUCUACUCUCUAUACCUCGAUGUAUUUCUUCGUGAGAUAAUCACAUAUAAUACAAAAUCGUCACUCUAUAUGCUUGGACUUCUUAUGAGAUCUGGGCUCUUAAGCAAAGUCUAUGCUCAUCAUUGUUGUCGCAUUAAAGUGUUAUGGCAUCCGAUGACAUUACACCCAAUUCCACAACAAACUUUUUGAACUAAAAAGCUUCUUUAGUAGCCUCCAAAACAGCGAUGUAUUCAGCUUCCAUGGUGGAAUCUGCAAUGAUCGAUUGUUUGAAACUCUCACAAUUUACCGAACCUCAUUACACAAGAACAUACAUCUGGAUGUAGACUUUCUAUCAUCAACAUUAAACAUAAAAUCUAAAUCUAUAAAUCCUUGUACCCUUUACUCUCCUCCAAAGACAAAAUAUAUCUUUAGUCCUUCUCAAGUACUUAAGAAUAUUUUUCAGUCUUCACAGCUACCCAGUGCUCCUCACUUGGAUUCGACUAAUAUCUACUUAUGACACUCACAACAAGUGCUAUAUCAAGUCGUAUACAAAGCAUGACAUACAUGAGGCUCCCUGUAGUCGAAGCAUAAGGGAUCUUGCUCAUGCGUUGAAUCUCUUCAAAUGUGUUAGGGCACAUCUUCUUUAAGAGAUGAAUCCCAUAUCUAAGGAGUAAAAAUCUCCUCUUUGAGUUUUCCAUGCUGAACCUCUUCAGCACUUCUAUGUAUAUCUUCUGCGAGAGGCCUAGCAUCCUCUUAGAUCUAUCUCUAUAGACUUUUAUCUUCAAAAUAUAAGAUGCUUUCCCAAGAUCUUUUAUAGAGACUUUAGACAACCACUCUGAACCAAAGUCAGCAUGGAAACAUUAUUUCUAAUUAAGAGGAUAUCAUCCACAUACAAUACGAGGAAUGUAACAACACUCUCACUAACCUUCUUAUAGAUACAUGGCUCCUCAUUCUUGACAAAAUCAAAUGAUUUGAUCACAUCAUUGAAAUGAGUAUACCAACUCUGAGAUGCUUGCUUCAGUCCAUAUAUAGACCUUUGCAGCUUGCAUAUCUUAUGACUUUCGUCAUUAGAAAAGAAACCCAAAGGCUGCUCCAUAUAGAUAUCUCCCUCAAGAUAUCUAUUCAGAAAGAUAGUUUUCACAUCCAUUUGCCAAAUCUUAUAAUUAUGUUAUGCUGCAAUUAUAAACAGUGUCCAGAUGGAUUUUCACAUAGCCACAAACGAAAAGGUCUCCUAAUAGUCAAUGCCUUCGCAUUGACUAUAGCAUUUCGCUACCAACCUUAUCUUAUAGGUCUCUAUCUUUCCAUCCAAACCUAUCUUUCUUUUGUAGAUCUAUUUGCAUCCAAUAGAUACCAUACAUUCUGAUGGAUCCACUAAGGUCCAGACUUGGUUGGAAUGUAUUGAGUCAAUUUCUGAUCUCAUGACUUCCAACCACUUCUUGAAGUCGAUGUCUGACAUCGCCUCAUAGAUUUUAGGAUCAUCUCCAUGUUUUCUAUCUCCCAUGAGGAAUAUUUCCUCUACUUCCUCUGUCACAAUACUUAAGAACCUUUUAGGAAGAUGGAAAAUCCUACUCAAUCUACGAGGUGGAGGUAGUGCAUGUACUGGCUUAAAUAGAUUCUAUAGGUUCUAUAUGACUCAUUGCUCUUCAAAGACUCUUCAAGCUCAAUUUUUCUCCCACUACUUUCAUCUUGGAUAAACUAUUUUUCCAAAAGAUAGCAUGUUGGCUCACAACUAUGUUGUGAUCCCCUGGAAAGUAAAAAUAGUAUCUCAAAGACUCUUUAGGAUACCCAAUGAAACAAGCCCUCUUUGACCUAGCCUCUAACUUGUCCGUCUGUAGUCCCUUAACAUGGAUCGGACAUCCCUAAAUCCUGAGAUGACCAAGUCUUGUUUCUUGUCAUACCACUCUCAUAUGGCAUGGUAGGAAUAGAUUUACAAAAAAACCCUAUUUAAUAUGAAAAUAGAAGCAAAGCAUGUUUCCAAAGAAAUAAAGAUUAGUGAAACUCAUUAUGGACCAAACCAUAUCCAAUAGGAUUCGAUUUUCCCACUCCGACACCCCAUUGAGUUGAGAUGCUCUUGGAGGAGUCCAUUAUGAGACUAUCAUUUUUCUUGAGAUAGUUUAGAAAUUCCCCACUAAGAUAUUCAUCUUUUCGAUUUGAUCGAAGAACCUUAAGGAGUUUUCCAAUUUGCUUCUCUACUUCAUAUCUGAAUUCUUUGAACUUUUCAAAAACUUCAGAUUUGUGUCUCGUAAAAAUACAUAUAUCCAUACUGUGAAUAGUCAUUAGUAAAGAUAAUAAAGUAAGGGUAACCGCCCCUGACCUACACAUCAAAUAGACCACACACAUCAGUAUGUACUAGGGCAAAUAUCUCAGUGGUUCUCUUCCCUUGUCCUACAAAAGAUAGUUUAGUCAUUUUUUCUUGAAGACAAAAUCCACAAACUGGAUAUAAUAUAGUAUUCAAUGAGAUAAGAAGCCCAUCUUUCUCCAAUUUGUUAAUCCUUUCUUUUGCGAUAUGACUAAGUCUAACGUGCCACAUAUACUUCAGGUUCAUCUCAUCUCUGAAUUUCUUAGAUCCCACGACACUCACUAUCUGCUCAAAAACAUUUACAGAUACAUCCAUAUGCAAGUGAUAGAGACCGUCAAUCAGAAAGCUGCGUGCAAUCAAUUUAUUUUUAAAACAAAUGGAAUGGCAGUCCUUUAUCAAAAUUUGAAAAGAUAAUCAUCAUGUGCCAAUAAAGAAACAGAAAUCAAAUUCCUGCUAGCAGCAGAUACAUAAUAACAAUCUUUAAGUAAUAAACUAUGACUAAACGGUAGUCACAAAGGAUAGAUGCCAACAAGAACAGCAACUCUUACCCCAGUAACAACUCGUAGCAUCACUUUACCUUCUCUCAGCCCUCAACUUUCCUUUAGACCCUACAUUGAAGUUCAUAAAUGUAAAUUAGAACCAGAGUCUAUAAUCCAACUAGAAGUAGAAGAAACCGUAAGGUUAGUUUCAAUUACGAGCAGAUCUGACAUAUCUUUUCAAGGCAUAUCCUUCUUAUUCUUCAAAAACUCCAGGUAUACGGGACAAGUCCUUUUUCACUGACUGUUAACAUUGCAAUGAAAACACUUUCCCUUGUCAGCGACCUUCUUAGGAGUUUUCCUUUUAGACUUGCUCUCGGUCUUUUGCUUCUUCUUCCAAUUAGACUUUCUCUUGGAAGAAGUAGCCUGCUCCACCGCAAGAACUGUGCCUCUUGAAUCCUUCAAGACUCCUUCAGUAGUUACCAGCAUGCUUAACAAUUCGGCCUUGGUGUAGUCAAUCUUAUUCAUAUGAUAGUUUAUUAUAAACUGCCCAUACGAAUCAGAAAGGGAUUGCAGGAUCAAAUCAACUUGUAAUUCCUUAUACAUAGUCAUGCUAAGCUUCUCAAGCUCCUCUAAGUCUUUGACAAUGACAAUGAUCAUGGACAAACUGUCCUUCAUGCAUCUUAGCAUUAAAGAGCCUUUUGAACACUUCAUAGUGCAUUGAUCAACUCUGCUCACCAUACAACUCCUUAAGAUCAAUCAGCAUGACCUUAGCAGUCUUCAUGUCCUUAUGCUGGCAUUGAAGUUCAUUUGACAUCGAUGCCAUAAUAUAGCACCUAGCUUUAUUGUCAUCAUCCAUCCAUUUUUCCUGUGCUUCCUUUUGGUUAGCCGUUGGAUGAUUUGGUAAUGUGAGGAUAUCCUGAUCGAGAACAUAGUUUAACUUCUUGAAACUUAAAACUAUUUUCAAAUUUCGGAGCCGGUAUUUAUUAUUGAUUCUGAUUAGUCGGUUGGUUUUAAGAAUGUGAGUAAGAGGAUUAGAAGCUCACAUUUUAUACCGCAGAGUACAUAUUCAAAUUAGAUUUUUGUAUUUGCUUUGAAAAUUUUGUUUUAACGUCCCUUUUAAAAACAAAUAUGCCUCCUACUAUUUCCUCAAGUCCCUUACACUCCUCGGAUAGAGAAACAGAAAUCCUUCGUGAUUAAGAUUUCAAGUGGGUUUUGCAGUCCCACCAAUUUGAUGCAAACUAGUGAGUGGACAACUCUUGUCCACUUCUCAAGCAAGUUGCAAUGAUCUUUGGUCUCUAAGUUAUAUAGACCUCACCUAACAAUUAUUGACCUCCUUCUUUAGUUAAGUCAAAUCCACCGUUCAAACACGGAAGUAAAGCCGUCAUUGGGUCCCUCACCGUACAAUUAUUAGGCCUAACCCCAUCUUUAUCCUACAACAUCUCAUGCUAAUAGAGUGGUUGCGCCUUCCCAAUGCAAUUGACCACUAUAACCAGCCAAGCCAGUCAACACCAAUAAGACACCCACACAUCUACAAUGAUAGAAGAUCGCUCGACUUAAUAUUUAUGAAGAGAUUAAAAUCAAAUCUUAUUUUUUUAAUUAUUUACAUCUAAUGCAAAUAAAAUCCACUAAACACGAAUAAAAACCGAUGAUGAUCAUGGAUUUAAGUAAAGGAUUUGAACUCGAGCCCCUAAGCCGAAAUCAGGGUCUAAGGGUCAUAAGUACAAGCACACACACAUCAACUAGUUUGAUCGUCUUCAACUCCUUGAUUCGAUCCCAAGCAAGUCCUUGAUCUAAUCGUGAUCAACACCUUAAUCCAUACUCAACCAAUUGCUCGACUUGAUCCAUGGUAGUUGUGCUGUAGGCUUGUAACCGAUCAAUCGUUGACAUGAAACCAUACAUAAUACAACCCAAUAAAAAUACAAUUAAUUACAACCCAUUAGAUCAGAUCUAAUGCGACUCACAAGUCUCCAAAUUACAUAAAUCUGCUAAUGCUUGCAAGCACCCAAAAAUUAAGCAAUUUAAAAUUACAGGAUUUGCACAUGCGAUACAUCAUAGAUAUAAAUAAAAGGGUCGCAAUCCUAUUAUGAUCAUCACUACAUGUAUCUCAUACAUAAAAAAUAAUAAAUAAUAGAUUUGGGUAUUAAAUUAAUUAUUUAACAUUGAUUCAUAAAUCAUUCAAUUCAUGAUGCUGUUUGCUUAUGAUCAAUCAUCACAACAAAGACCAUGAAAAAUGAAAAGAACGAUCUGUAAUACCCAAAUCUAUAAACUUAUUCUUAAAACGUAUGAGGGUGGCUCGAUACUAUUGUCAAAAAAGAGAUUAAUAUGCACAGCAAAAGGAAUCAUGGUAUUAACUUUUUAAGUAAAUACGUGAGAUUGCAUCUCGAAACAAUCCAGAUCCCUUAUAGUUUUUAAGAUUAAGACUAAUAUAACAAAGUGAGAUCAAAUCAUCAUCUUUGCGUGGGUAGAUCUAUGCCACAAUCUGGUGAUCGUGGAUAUCUUCGCGAUCCUUUGGAAACCGCACAAGCAUUCAGCCUUUACAGAUAUCCACAGAGGCUUUGAUCUGAUCAAGGGUGUCUGAUCUCAUCAGGAUGCUAGCUCCCUUACAGAUAUCGUUCUUCUGAUGGCGGAUUUCUUUUUCC
rnacentral:lncRNA from 1 species